ACGCUUGGGUCUAGGAUCAUGAAACUUCAUAGGUACAUUGAUCAUGACUCGCAGAUGACCCCUAUUGAUUUUGAGGUCACUAGGUCAAAGGUCACGGUGACCAGAAAUAGUUAAAUGGUUUUUGAAUGAUAACUCAAGAACGCAUACACCUAGGAUCAUGAAACUUCAUGGGUAGAUUGAUCAUGACUUGCAGAUGACCCCUAUUGAUUUUGAGGUCACUAGGUCAAGGUCACGGUGACCCGAAAUAGUAAAAUGGUUUCCGGAUGAUAACUCAAGAACGCAUACGCCUAGGAUCAUGAAACUUCAUGGGUAGAUUGAUCAUGACUCGCAGAUGACCCCUAUUGAUUUUGAGGUCACUAGGUCAAAGGUCAAGGUCACAGGUGAAGGUCACAGUUACUGGAAAUAGGCAUUUUAAGGAUUUAGCAUGGUUCAAACAAGGGAAACAACUACCGUUUAUGCAUGUUCUUUUUAUUACAGCAUUUGCCUCCCUUUAAUUCAUUUAAAAUCUCAUUUUACAGCAGAGAUUCCAAAUCUGACCUGUAAAUGAGCCCCAUAUUUACUGCCAGUGCUAGGUUACCUUUUCCCAUUUGAUCAUUCUUAAGUAUUGGUAUUGUAAUGCUGCUGCUACUGCUGCUACUACUACAUCUACUACUACUACUACUACUACUACUACUACUACUACUACUACUACUACUACUACUACUACUACUACUACUACUACUACUACUACUACUACUACUACUACUUAUUCUACUACUACUACUACUACUACUACUACUACUACUACUACUACUACUACUACUACUACUUCUACUACACCACCACUACACCACCACCACCACUACACCACUACCACCGUUCACAGUGACAAAAAACGUAUUCACACAAUGGCUGCUACUACAACUUAUAGCCCAUAUAGGGGGGCAUGCAUGUUUUACAAACAGCCCUUGUUUUGUAAGAAUUUCCUUCUUCAAUGGAGGUGGCAUAAUUUGUGUUUCUUUUAUGCAUCUGUUUUUCAAGUGCUUCAAUGACUUUUAUGGCCUCAUUUUCAAGUUUGUGUGUUUCUUUUUUUUUAGCUUACCUGAGCACAACGUGCUCAUGGUGAGCUUUUUAGAUCGCCUUUUGUGCCUUGUCUGUCGUGCAGCGUCAACAUUUACCUUGUUAACACUUUAGAGGUCACAUUUAUUGUCCAAUCUUCAUGAAACUUGGUCAGAACAUGUGUCCCAUUAAUAUCUUGGACGAGUUCGAAAAUGCUUCUUGUUGUUGAAAAACCUGGGUGUCAGGGGGCGUGUCAGUUUUCCUAAUAUGGCUAUUGUAAAACCUUGUUAAGACUCUAGAAGUUACAUUUUUUGUUUAAUCAUCAUGAAACUUGGUCGGAACAUGUGUCCCAAUAAAAUCUUUGACAAGUUCAAAAAUGGUUCCGUUUGGAAGAAAAACAUGGCCGCCAGGGGGCGGGGCAGUUUUCCUAUUAUGGCUAUAGUAAAACUUGUUCACUCUGUAGAAGUCAAAUUCAUUGUUCAAUCUUCAUGAAACUUAGUCAGAACAUUUGUUCUAAUGAUGGGGGGGGGGGGGCAGUUGUCCUUAUAUGGCUUUAGUGAAAACUUGUUGACGCUAUAUUAGCCUUAUUUAUUGGCCAAUCUACAUGAAACUUGGUCAAAACAUUAUUUUGUCCCAAUGAAAUCUUAGCGAAGAUUGAAACUGGGUCAUAUGAGCUUAAAAACUAGGUCGCUAGGUCAAAUAUAAGAAUAAACAUGUUGAAAGUCACUUUUUUGGUCUAAUCUUCAUGAAUCAGUUUGCAUUUGUCCAGAAUAGUCUAGUUCCUUUUGCUCUCAGGUGCGCGCCUUAGGGCCUAACGGCCCUGUUGUUUUAAAUGACGUGCAUCUUAUUGUUGUGUUAAGUAUCUUGCCUUUAAUUAUUUCCCAUAAGGUGUUUGGAUUUGCAUCUUUGUUAUCUUAAACUGUAUUGGUUAUUACCUGUUAUAUUUGUGUUUGAUAUUGUGUAUCUUUUCAGAAGCUAUUAUUAACUUUUAAAGUACCUUGGGCCUCUUUCAGGUUGUAUUUCAUGCAGUUAAAGUUCAACUAUCGAGUGAUCAGUCAUAAAUCCUGGUUUUUAAGUUGCAUGUGUUGAUAAGGUUGCAAAUAGACUCGCAUAUUUAAAAAAAUCUUAUCUCCAAAA